rnacentral:lncRNA from 1 species
AUGAUGGUCAUUAAGUUCAAGAUGGGGAGGGGUUGGGGUGAGGGCUGGCCUGUCUGAGGAGGGGCAUUUGCAGUGCUGGAGCAAGCCAUGGAGGACAGGAAUUGCUCCAGUCAGAGGAACAGCAAGGACAAGGGGCCCAAGACGGCAUGUACUAGAGGCUCCACGCAUAGAAAAAGCCAGCCAUCCCCAGCGCUGUAACUGAGUGGCCAGUGGUGGGAGUCUUUGUAAUAGUUAAUUUUAUGCAUCAACUUGACUGGAUCACAGUGUGCCCAGAUAUUUGAUCAAACAUUAUUCUGAGUGUUUCCGUGACAAUGUUUUUGGAUACAAUCAACAUUUAUUUAAUUGGUUGAAGACCUGAAUAGAACAAAGAGUUCAAUUCUCUCAAGUAAGAGAAUUCCUCCUGUCUGACUACUUCAGAAUUGGGACAUUGGCUUUUUCCUGCCUCUACACUACAACUACACCAUCAAGCCUUCAGACAUGGAAAGGAACCACACUAUUGGCUCUCCUCGGUCUUCAGCUUGCCAACUCAAUGCAGAUCUUUGCAUUUGUCAGCCUUAUAACCAUGUGAGCUAAUUCCCUAAAAUAAAUGUCCUCAUUUAAAUGUAUUUCCUA